AACUUUAUAACAAUUUCAAGGGAUAAAAACAAGGGAUAAAAUUUAUGGGAUAAAAUUAUGAGAUAAUUUUAGGGAUAAUAUGAGAUAAAAUUAUGGGAUAUAUUUUUUUGGAUUUUAGGGAUAAGUAAGCAGGAAUAUGAUAUUUUGUUACUUUAUAAUCAUCAAAUAUUGUUAUGGGUUUAUUUUCUAAAAUUAAAAUAUUC
rnacentral:lncRNA from 1 species